UACGUAGGGUGCAAGCGUUAAUCGGAAUUACUGGGCGUAAAGCGUGCGCAGGCGGUUUUGUAAGUCUGACGUGAAAUCCCCGGGCUUAACCUGGGAAUUGCGUUGGAGACUGCAAGGCUGGAGUCUGGCAGAGGGGGGGUAGAAUUCCACGUGUAGCAGUGAAAUGCGUAGAGAUGUGGAGGAACACCGAUGGCGAAGGCAGCCCCCUGGGUCAAGACUGACGCUCAUGCACGAAAGGCGUGGGGAGCAAACGAGG
rnacentral:rRNA from 1 species